UCUAAAACAAUCCUUACAGCUAACUCUAUGUCCCUUGUCAUACACUUAAAAAACGGUCUCCUCAUAUUUCAAAGAGAUUUUAAUCUUCUCCGGAAAAACACUCGAAGGAAAAAAAAAAGGGCUUCAUUUUUCUUCUUCGGCACAAAAUCAUCAGGUAGAGAUGGGAUUUAUUAUGGAGUUCGCUGAGAAUUUAGUACUGAGGUUAAUGGAAGAUCCACAAGAGAGGGAUCGUAAGUUCCGAGAACAUGUUUAUGCAGUUAAGGAUCAAUGUAAGAAGACCAAAGAAAUGUGGAGUUUACCUAUUCGUCCUUAUGGGUUUUGGACUUUCGAGCGUCAUAACUCACAAAUGGCUUGGGAUGCUCAGAUUAGUCAAGUUCCAGGACGAAGGGAUCCUUAUGAUGAUCUCCUUGAAGAUAAGACUACUAAACUUGGCAAAUCACCCUAAAUGGAGAAGAUGCGCUCUGGAUGUGCAGAAUGACAUGGAGCUAUAUGUAAUGGAAUGAGAAUGUCGAUUGUUUUUACUAGUUGUACACUGCGGAAUCAAAGUCGUGUUCUGUGUUGGGUGAAAGCCGAAGUUUCUUCACUGUUUAAAGUUUCAUUUGUUGCUAAUAAUAUUCUGAAGAACAUCUAUUGUACAAUGCUGUACUAGAACUCGAGACUGGAGUUUCUGUAAAACAGUGUUCUGUUGUCCUUGGUUUUCGACUCAAAUACCCAAAAUCAAAUUGUUGUGUUGAACGAU